GAUGAACGCUGGCGGCGUGCCUAAUACAUGCAAGUCGGACGGAGCGCUUCGGCGCUCAGUGGCGAACGGGUGAGUAGCACAUGGGCAACCUGCCCUUCAGAGGGGGACAACAGCUGGAAACGGCUGCUAAUACCGCAUGAUGCAUCAAUGGGGCAUCCCAUUGAUGCCAAAGAUUUUAUCGCUGAAAGAUGGCCUCGCGUCUGAUUAGCUAGUUGGUGAGAUAACGGCCCACCAAGGCGACGAUCAGUAGCCGGACUGAGAGGUUGACCGGCCACAUUGGGACUGAGAUACGGCCCAG
rnacentral:rRNA from 1 species